GACGAACGCUGGCGGCGUGCUUAACACAUGCAAGUCGAACGGAAAGGCCCUGCUUUUGUGGGGUGCUCGAGUGGCGAACGGGUGAGUAACACGUGAGUAACCUGCCCUUGACUUUGGGAUAACUUCAGGAAACUGGGGCUAAUACCGGAUAGGAGCUCCUGCUGCAUGGUGGGGGUUGGAAAGUUUCGGCGGUUGGGGUUGGACUUGCGGUUUAUCAGCUUGUUGGUGGGGUAGUGGAUUACCAAGGCUUGGACGGGUAGCCGGACUGAGAGGGUGACAGGCCCCAUGGGGCCACGGAAGCGGCCCGUGCGCCUACGGGGGGAAGGGGGGGGAAAUUGUGCAAACAGGGCGGAGGCUGGAAGGAAGACCGCCGGGUGGGGGAGGACGGCUGUCGGGUAGGAAACCGCUUGCGCUUGUAACGACGCGUGAGUAAGGUAAAUGGGUAAAGAGGCACCGGCAACCAACGG
rnacentral:rRNA from 1 species